UGAGGAAUAUUGGGCAAUGCCCGAAAGGGUGACCCAGCAACGCCGCGUGGAGGAUGAAGGUCGUAAGAUUGUAAACUCCUGUUAGAGGGGAAGAAUAACUAAGUUUGGAGCUUAGUAUGACUGUACCCUCAGAGAAAGCCCCGGCUAACUACGUGCCAGCAGCCGCGGUAAUACGUAGGGGGCAAGCGUUGUCCGGAUUUACUGGGUGUAAAGGGCGCGCAGGCGGAAUGGAAAGUCAGUGGUGAAAUCCUACAGCUUAACUGUAGAACUGCCCUUGAUUCUUUCAUGCUUGAGUUCGGGAGAGNGAGACGGAAUUCCAGGUGUAGUGGUGAAAUACGUAGAUAUCUGGAAGAACACCAGUUGCGAAGGCGGUCUCUUGGUCCGAUACUGACGCUGAGGCGCGAAAGCGUGGGGAGCAAACA
rnacentral:rRNA from 1 species